CAACUUUCAGCAACGGAUCUCUUGGCUCUCGCAUCNAUGAACAACGCUGCGAAAUGCGAUAAGUAAUGUGAAUUGCAUAAUUCAGUGAAUCAUCGAAUCUUUGAACGCACCUUGCGCUCCUUGGUAUUCCCAGGAGCAUGCCUGUUUGAGUGUCAUU
rnacentral:rRNA from 1 species